UACGUAGGGGGCAAGCGUUGUCCGGAUUUACUGGGCGUAAAGGGCGCGUAGGCGGUCGUGACAAGUCACUUGUGAAAUCUCCGGGCUUAACUCGGAACGGUCAAGUGAUACUGUCGGACUAGAGUACAGAAGGGGCAACUGGAAUUCUCGGUGUAGCGGUGAAAUGCGUAGAUAUCGAGAGGAACACCUGCGGCGAAGGCGGCCGACUGGGCCGACCCUGACGCUGAGGCACGAAAGCGUGGGGAGCAAACAGG
rnacentral:rRNA from 1 species